rnacentral:rRNA from 1 species
AUUGAACGCUGGCGGCAUGCCUUACACAUGCAAGUCGAACGGCAGCACGGGCUUCGGUCUGGUGGCGAGUGGCGAACGGGUGAGUAAAGUAUCGGAACGUACCUUUCAGUGGGGGAUAACGUAGCGAAAGUUACGCUAAUACCGCAUAUUCCGUGAGCAGGAAAGCAGGGGAUCGCAAGACCUUGCGCUGAUUGAGCGGCCGAUAUCAGAUUAGCUAGUUGGUGGGGUAAAGGCCUACCAAGGCGACGAUCUGUAGCGGGUCUGAGAGGAUGAUCCGCCACACUGGAACUGAGACACGGUCCAGACUCCUACGGGAGGCAGCAGUGGGGAAUUUUGGACAAUGGGGGCAACCCUGAUCCAGCCAUGCCGCGUGAGUGAGGAAGGCCUUCGGGUUGUAAAGCUCUUUCGGCCGGGAAGAAAUCGCAUGGGCUAAUACCCUGUGUGGAUGACGGUACCGGAAUAAGAAGCACCGGCUAACUACGUGCCAGCAGCCGCCGUAAGAC